rnacentral:rRNA from 1 species
UCUACGGGUGGCAGCAGUGGGGAAUAUUGCACAAUGGGGGAAACCCUGAUGCAGCGACGCCGCGUGAGUGAAGAAGUAUUUCGGUAUGUAAAGCUCUAUCUGCAGGGAAGUAAUAGCGACCUUUGGGUCGCCAGACGGUAUCUGUUUAAGAAGCCCCGGCUAACUACGUGCCAGCAGCCGCGGUAAUACGGAGGAUGCGAGCGUUAUCCGGAUUUAUUGGGUUUAAAGGGUGCGUAGGCGGGAUGCCAAGUCAGCGGUAAAAAUGCGGUGCUAAACGCCGUCGAGCCGUUGAAACUGGCGUUCUUGAGUAGGCUAGAAGUAUGCGGAAUGCGUGGUGUAGCGGUGAAAUGCAUAGAUAUCACGCAGAACUCCGAUUGCGAAGGCAGCAUACCGGCGCCCUACUGACGCUGAGGCACGAAAGCGUGGGUAUCGAACAGGAUUAGAUACCCUUGUAGUC